UCGCGUCCCUCUGCGCUCUCGGUUCUUUUGCCAGAGCCAAUGAAUGCAGAGCUCAACGAUUUGUCCAUUUCAUCAGGAAAUACAACAAAGAGUAUUCUUCGCCCGCGGAAUUCUUCUCUCGGAUGAAAGCGUACCUGAGGAACUGCCGCGAAAUUUAUGAGCACAACGAACGCUAUAAAAAGGGCCUGGAAACCUUCGAAAAAGGAAUCAACCAGUUCGCCGACUCCUACGAGGACGAGCGAUAUUUUACCGGGGAAUUGCCGACCGAUGAUCCAGAGGAGUUUGAUACCUUGCCGUCUGAUUU